CUUUGCCUUUCGUCCCUUUGAAGUCAAUAAAAUGAAGUACCAGUCAAAUACUGGGGUCAAUGUAAUCAGCUUGUUCUCUUCCCUCAAAAUGGCUGGCCUAAGACCUUGCAAUGGAUCGAUGUUCCAUUCAGGGGAAAUAUUGUGAUCUCAGUUAUUUAUAUACCAUGGAAUCAGGGUAACUGGCCUUAAAAGUCCAAAGGAUGAAGAAAAAAAAGUCAUACCCAAUACCCAAAUAAUUCUGCCAAUCAAAUGCUCUGAACUGAAUUACUUUCUGAGAAUAAUUUACAUUUCGAAUGUAGGUUGAAAUCGAGGGGUCCAAAAUGAUUCCCUUUUUGGUUUCCCGUCACUAACAAACGAAAGAAGAUGUAAUUGUGAAGUCCUUGCAGUUAGAGCUUGCUAGAACAUUUGCUUUCCUUCUGCAGAAUGUUUGAGUCAACACUUAUUAUGCUAUAAUAGCAUCUGUAAAUCAGUAGUUACCCCCUUUUUUUUUUCAUUUGCAUAUAUGGAAUUCGUUUGUUUUAAUCAGCAAGGAUUUGCUCGUUUUUAAUCUCUUAUCUGUCAUACUGAAGCAUCAAAAUAUUCUCUCUAGCAAAUAAUUAUUCUCUAGUUAUGAAUUUUUCAUGAAGACUUCAGAAUAUUGAAGUUUUGACAGUUCUGUUUCACUGUCUCAGGCAUUUAUGACUUUUUCUCUUUCUAAAGAAUGUUCAUGCUUAGAGAAAUAUUACAUGCACACUGGGGGAUAUCUGUACUCAUUGACAAUGAGAAACAUAUGCUAUUAUGUAAAGAUGAUAAUAUAAGAAACAUAGAGCAGCAAGAAUGAGAUACUGCUUUAAAUGAACUCUUGCAAUACACAGUCUAUACAGCUUAGAACAACAUUAGUAAGGAAACACGAUAAGAACAACACUGGUUUAAAAAAUGGCCUUAGUAUAUAUUUAUUAGAAAAUGAAUUUGGCACCUACCCAAAUAUUUUCAUGGGUGUGAACUUCAUGACACAGCUACAAUGAAAAA